CCAAAGUUAUGUGAAUUUUUUUUUAAAGUAAAAAGUUUGGGCCUGUCGCUGGCCGACAUGUGUCGAUUGGUGUGUAGAGUGUGGUCGACGCCAGCAGACCAUAUCUGGGUGUGGUCCACACGUGUGGACCCAAAGUAGAUGUGGCCCCCGCACGCAUGAAGACUCCUCCUCAGCUUUACAACGUGCUCCUCGCCACCACCCCACCUCAUCUCAUGUUUUACCAUUUUCUUUCGUUUUCUGCCUUCUUUCCCUUUCCGCCCUCCUAAAGAAGAUCCGG
rnacentral:lncRNA from 1 species